GUUAAUAUAGUUUUAAAACAAACAUUAG
rnacentral:tRNA from 1 species